AGUAAAGUCAGCUAAAUAAGCUUUUAGGCCCAUACCCUGACCACGUAGGUGAAAAUCCUUCCUUUACUA
rnacentral:tRNA from 1 species